CCCCUCUCAGGGUCGCACCUGGAGAUUUUCCAGUACUCUACCAGGCUUGACUAUGGGAGGGAGAGUCAAGCAGAGGCCUACCCAUUCCAUUCUAGCUUGGCCAGUGGCUAGCGAGUGGAAGGCAAUUUGCUACAAGU
rfam:Ornithorhynchus anatinus chromosome 3, whole genome shotgun sequence.